AAUAGAUACCCAGGUAGUCCACGCCGUAAACGUUGGGCGCUAGAUGUGGGGGACCUUUCCACGGUUUCCGUGUCGUAGCUAACGCAUUAAGCGCCCCGCCUGGGGAGUACGGCCGCAAGGCUAAAACUCAAAGGAAUUGACGGGGGCCCGCACGAAGCGGCGGAGCAUGCGGAUUAAUUCGAUGCAACGCGAAGAACCUUACCAAGGCUUGACAUACACGAGAACGGGCCAGAAAUGGUCAACUCUUUGGACACUCGUGAACAGGUGGUGCAUGGUUGUCGUCAGCUCGUGUCGUGAGAUGUUGGGUUAAGUCCCGCAACGAGCGCAACCCUCGUCGCAUGUUGCCAGCACGUUAUGGUGGGGACUCAUGUGAGACUGCCGGGGUCAACUCGGAGGAAGGUGGGGAUGACGUCAAAUCAUCAUGCCCCUUAUGUCUUGGGCUUCACGCAUGCUACAAUGGCCGGUACAAAGGGCUGCGAUGUCGUAAGGCGGAGCGAAUCCCAAAAAGCCGGUCUCAGUUCGGAUUGAGGU
rnacentral:rRNA from 1 species